rnacentral:snRNA from 1 species
AUACUUACCUGGCAGGGGAGACACCUUGAUCAUGAAGGAGGUUUUCUCAAGGUGAGGCUUAGCCACUGCACUCUGGCUGAGCUGACCCCUGCAAUUUCCCCAAAUGCAGGAAAUUCGAAUGCAUAGUUUAUGAUAGCAGGGGACUGCAUGCAAAACAAUU